GGGUCAGUAGGUUGGUCGUGCCACAGGUAUGAACUGGCCUCACUGAUUCCUCCUUCCUGAUGAACCGUAAUGCCAUUAAUUUGGUGUUGCGGGGAGACUGGACUGUUACUUUGAAAAAAUUAGAGUGCUCCAUACAGGCAUUUGCUUGAAUACAUUAGCAUGGAAUAACGGAAUAGGACU
rnacentral:rRNA from 1 species